rnacentral:tRNA from 1 species
UACCCGGUGGUGUAAUUGGUAACACAGGAGAUUUUGGUUCUCCUUAUUGAGGUUCGAGUCCUCACCGGGUAACCA